AAAUCAACUCAAGCGCUUUUGCAUGGUCAUGGAGGAAGAGUCCGUCUUGUUGCGGUCUCCCCGCCGAAAAUCAACGGCGGAAAGUCACUGGUACCCGGCGUAGUAGAAUCUGUUCGCUGUUCGGCCAGUGUCGUUCCUGCCGGCAAACCCCCCACAAUUCUCUU
rnacentral:misc_RNA from 1 species